rnacentral:rRNA from 1 species
AUCUGGCUCAGAGUGAACGCUGGCGGUAGGCCUAACACAUGCAAGUCGAACGGCAGCACAGUAAGAGCUUGCUCUUAUGGGUGGCGAGUGGCGGACGGGUGAGGAAUACAUCGGAAUCUACUUUUUCGUGGGGGAUAACGUAGGGAAACUUACGCUAAUACCGCAUACGACCUACGGGUGAAAGCAGGGGACCUUCGGGCCUUGCGCGAUUGAAUGAGCCGAUGUCGGAUUAGCUAGUUGGCGGGGUAAAGGCCCACCAAGGCGACGAUCCGUAGCUGGUCUGAGAGGAUGAUCAGCCACACUGGAACUGAGACACGGUCCAGACUCCUACGGGAGGCAGCAGUGGGGAAUAUUGGACAAUGGGCGCAAGCCUGAUCCAGCCAUACCGCGUGGGUGAAGAAGGCCUUCGGGUUGUAAAGCCCUUUUGUUGGGAA